GUGGAGCCUUGUCGUUAAGGAUGUGGCGUCAUCUACAAAUAACCAACUCUAUCCAACUGAAACCCUAAACCCCUCCUCCACUGUAAAAUCCCAAGCAAUGAGCCCCCACGAUUCCCCCUGUCAAACCCAUGAAGAAGAACAACUUCAACUCUCCAAUCCUCAAUCAACUGGCUCCGCUGAUGAAAACAACGGUGGCGAUAGCCACGGUGAGAAGCGAAAGAGACAGGAGAUAGCACAAUCAGAAACGGAAGAAAAAGUUGACCCUUCACUUAAUCCGUAUUAUAAAACCUCACUCUGUUCGUAUUUCAGGCGGAACUCGGGGUCCUGCAGCCAUGGCAUUGAGUGCAAAUACGCGCAUGGCGAGGAGGAGCUCCGUCCGCGUCCUGAUAACACUUGGGACCCGACCUCCGAGCGGGCGAAGAAAGCGAUGAAAUUGGAUUAUAAUGGUGAUAAAUGUGAGAAGAGGGAUGAGGAUGAGAUUAUGAUGACUGAAGUGCUUGUUGAUGAUGGUGAAGGGGGGUGUUUGGAUCCUGGGCUUAGUAAGUGCUUGGUGCAUCUACCCAGGAAGUGGAAUUCGGAUAACUUGAGGAACUUUCUCAGUGAGCAAGGUGUUCUCUUCAAAUUGGCAAAGAAAAAGAAAGGCAUGACUGUAGGUUUUGUGACUUUUGACAGAGCUGACCAAUUGAGAAGAGCAAGUGAGGAGCUUGAAGGAAGAUCUGUUGGCAACAAGAAAAUAAAAGUUGCUGAUGUGAUCCCCCGAUCAUAUGAUGGGAAAAUAAAAUCAGCCAUGGCUCUCCCCCAAAAUGCUCCACAAAAAAUGGCGUCUUCAUUGGAGGGAGAAAAUGCUGGGAUCUCUAAAUCUUUACAUGUUACGGAGGAUGAUGAUACAAAGGAUGACAGUUCAAUGUUAGAUGGUUCAAGUUCCAAGGCAAAAAGUGCCCGUGAUGUAGUGACUCCCCUUGCUCAUAUGCCUUAUGAAGACCAGUUGGAGCACAAGAAGAACUCUAUUAUGCAAAUGCUAAAAAAACUUACUAGAAAUGCUCGUAAAGCAUGUCCAAAUGGUGUUUCUUUGCCAGAAUGGAUUCUCAAGUCUAGGGAAAUAGGUGGUCUUGCAUGCAACCUUGAGGGUAUACUGGAUUCACCACUUGUGAAUGGUUACCGUAAUAAAUGCGAGUUUUCAGUUGGAUAUUCUCUUCAUGGAAAACCUAUUGUUGGGUUUAUGCUAGGAAACUUUAGAGAUGGCGUGACAGCUGUAGAAGAACCUGUUGACUGCCCAAAUGUUUCUAGUAUUGCUUGCAAGUAUGCUUCAAUUUUUCAGGAAUUUCUGCAACAAUCAGGCUUGCCAAUUUGGAACAGAUUUAAGAAUACUGGAUUCUGGCGUCAAUUAAC
rnacentral:misc_RNA from 1 species